rnacentral:rRNA from 1 species
GAUGAACGCUGGCGGAGUGCCUAACACAUGCAAGUCGAGCGGCAGCGCGAAUAGUUUACUAUUUGGCGGCGAGCGGCGGACGGCUGAGUAACGCGUGGGAACAUACCCCAAAGUGAGGAAUAACUGCCCGAAAGGGUAGCUAAUGCCGCAUAUGAUCUUCGGAUUAAAGCUUUCGAGCGCUUUGGGAAUGGCCUGCGUACGAUUAGAUAGUUGGUGAGGUAAUGGCUCACCAAGUCGACGAUCGUUAACUGGUUUGAGAGGAUGAUCAGUCAGACUGGAACUGAGACACGGUCCAGACUCCUACGGGAGGCAGCAGUGAGGAAUCUUCCACAAUGGGCGAAAGCCUGAUGGAGCAACUCCGCGUGCAGGAUGAAGGCCUUCGGGUUGUAAACUGCUUUUAUUAGUGAAGAAUAUGACGGUAACUAAUGAAUAAGGAUCGGCUAACUCCGUGCCAGCAGCCGCGGUAAUACGGAGGAUCCGAGCGUUAUCCGGAAUUAUUGGGUUUAAAGGGUGCGUAGGCGGGAUAAUAAGUCAGAGGUGAAAGACAGCGGCUCAACCGUUGCAGUGCCUUUGAAACUGUUAUUCUUGAAUGCGGACGAAGGAGGCGGAACGGGACAAGUAGCGGUGAAAUGCAUAGAUAUGUCCCAGAACCCCGAUUGCGAAGGCAGCUUCCUAGGCCGUUAUUGACGCUGAUGCACGAAAGCGUGGGGAUCGAACAGGAUUAGAUACCCUGGUAGUCCACGCCCUAAACGAUGAUAACUCGAUGUUGGCGUUAUACUGUCAGUGUCCAAGCGAAAGCGUUAAGUUAUCCACCUGGGGAGUACGAUCGCAAGAUUGAAACUCAAAGGAAUUGACGGGGGCCCGCACAAGCGGAGGAGCAUGUGGUUUAAUUCGAUGAUACGCGAGGAACCUUACCCGGGCUUGAAAGUUAGCGACUGAUCUAGAGACGGAUCAUCCCUUCGGGGCGCGAAACUAGGUGCUGCAUGGCUGUCGUCAGCUCGUGCCGUGAGGUGUUGGGUUAAGUCCCGCAACGAGCGCAACCCCUAUGUUUAGUUGCCAGCAUUUUAAGGUGGGGACUCUAAACAGACUGCCUGCGCAAGCAGUGAGGAAGGCGGGGACGACGUCAGGUCAGUAUUUCUCUUACGUCCUGGGCUAGAAACGUGAUACAAUGGCAAGUACAAUGCGCAGCGAAGCCGCGAGGUGAAGCAAAUCGCAUCAAAGCUUGUCCCAGUUCGGAUUGGAGGCUGAAACUCGCCUCCAUGAAGUCGGAAUCGCUAGUAAUCGCAGGUCAGCAAACUGCGGUGAAUACGUUCCCGGGUCUUGUACACACCGC